rnacentral:rRNA from 1 species
GACGAACGCUGGCGGCGUGCUUAACACAUGCAAGUCGAACGGAAAGGCCUGCUUUCCCUUGUGGAUUGCGGGUACUCGAGUGGCGAACGGGUGAGUAACACGUGAGUGAUCUGCCCCCAACUUGGGUAUAAGCCUGGGAAACUGGGUCUAAUUCCCGAUAGGACUGCAGGGUGGUGCCUGUGGUGGAAAACGAUUUUCUAGUGGUUGGGGAUGAGCUCGCGGCCUAUCAGCUUGUUGGUGGGGUAAUGGCCUACCAAGGCGGCGACGGGUAGCCGGCCUGAGAGGGUGGGCGGCCACAGUGGGACUGAGAUACGGCCCAGACUCCUACGGGAGGCAGCAGUGGGGAAUAUUGCACAAUGGGCGGAAGCCUGAUGCAGCGACGCCGCGUGGGGGAUGACGGCCUUCGGGUUGUAAACUCCUUUCGACCGCGAGGAAGCCACCUGGUUGGAAGGGUGGUGACGGUAGUGGUAGAAGAAGCACCGGCUAACUACGUG